rnacentral:tRNA from 2 species
UGGGGAUGUGGUGGAAUGGUAGACAUAACAGACUUAAAAUCUGUUGAUUUUUUAAUAAUCGUGAGGGUUCAAGUCCCUCCAUCCCCAA